CUUGGUCAUUUAGAGGAAGUAAAAGUCGUAACAAGGUUUCCGUAGGUGAACCUGCGGAAGGAUCAUUACCGAGUUCAUGCCCUCACGGGUAGAUCUCCCACCCUUUGUAUACCAUACCUUUGUUGCUUUGGCGGGCCGCCUAGCUACUGGCUUCGGCUGGUAAGUGCCCGCCAGAGGACCCAAAACCCUGAAUAUUAGUGUCGUCUGAGUAAAAUUUUAAUAUUUAAAACUUUCAACAACGGAUCUCUUGGCUCUGGCAUCGAUGAAGAACGCAGCGAAAUGCGAUAAGUAAUGUGAAUUGCAGAAUUCAGUGAAUCAUCGAAUCUUUGAACGCACAUUGCGCCCCUUGGUAUUCCGAGGGGCAUGCCUAUUCGAGCGUCAUUAUCACCCCUCAAGCUUCGGCUUGGUGUUGAGGCCUGCUGUAAAGGCACCCUCUAAAAUCAGUGGCAGUGCUGUCAGGCUCUAAGCGUAGUAAUUUCAUCGCUAUAGGGUCCUGGUGGAUACCCGUCAAAACCCCCCCAUUUUUUAAUGAUUGACCUCGGAUUAGGUAGGGAUACCCGCUGAACUUAAGCAUAUCAAUAAGCGGAGGAAAAGAAACCAACAGGGAUUGCCUCAGUAACGGCGAGUGAAGCGGCAAAAGCUCAAAUUUGAAAUCUGGCUCUUUUAGGGUCCGAGUUGUAAUUUGUAGAAGAUGUUUCGGGUGUGGCUCCGGUUUAAGUUCUUUGGAAUAUUACAUCAUAGAGGGUGAGAAUCCCGUAUAUGACCGGCAGCCUUCGCCUAUGUGAAACUCUUUCGACGAGUCGAGUUGUUUGGGAAU
rnacentral:sRNA from 1 species